CCAGUACAGUAGCCGGCAGUAUAUGCAUCUGUUAGUUGGUUGCGAUCCGCCAAAAAAACACAAAGAAGAAAACAGGUGACGCAGUAGGCAGGGUUACCGCGAGAUUUUGGAUUCAAAGUAAAUCUAGUUCAGCUUUAGAUGAGAAAAACAUAUUGUAGUUAGCUACCCUGUCAACAUAAACGUCAAUGAUGCACACACCGUUCCAGUUUAGAUAAUUGGUGCACUGGUCAAUAAUUACGAAAUCAGGAGAAAGAAAUCAAGUGCAUGCAACCAUGGUGGUGGUUGGUCGUGCAGCCUUGAUGCGCUAGCUAAAUAGCUAGCUAGUUUACGUCAUACCUUAUCGUAUUCUAACGUUACUUUUCUGUUUUCUAAGUACAUCACUAGUUGCACGUAUAAUCCAACACUUAUGCAUACAUUUCGCACGUCCCAUAUAACAAGUUACUGGUAGUAGACACCACUAGUCUGAAUGUGGGACUAUUUCUAAAACAGUUCACGUUUACUGUAACUUACACUCAGCGCUGGUUGUCAAAUCCACAGGUUGUUGUGAAGAUGAACGACGGUCUGUCUGGCUGUUCAGUUAUCCACCAAAAUCAGUUCAAGAAAGUAAAAUGUUGCUACCAAGUCCGUGCAUGGCAAGCCUGCCUAAAAAGUAGCUAACGUUCGGUUUGCCCUUUCCCCGACUGGCACAGUAAUAUUUUCCGCUGCUCAAACUGACAUCACAUGGAGGAGAGCAAUAAUUAACCGCGUUUCCAUCCUUUUUAGGUAAAAAUGCCCAUAUAUAGUAGCUGUAGGAAGCAGCGUGCAGCCAGAGCUGUAGCGCUGCCUGCUGGACGGUUUAAGCAUCUCUUUUUCGUCUCUUUCAACACAGUUUUGUUGUUGUAAAUAACAAUACGUUUUUUAUACAUAGAUCGUUAUCUAUACACUAAUUAACUACCUGUAAUUACUAAUAACCCAAUUACAUAUCCGUUAUACACUGUUUAUAAAGAGUACCUUAAUAUAAAAUCGUACUCAUUUUAAACUGGCCAAUAUAGGCAUACUGUGAUAUAAUUUAGACCAGCAGUAGAGAGUGCACUGUAUCCUAUCCUAUGACAGCAACAAACAAAAAAAACGAUCAGCACAUCAUCCCUUGAAGAGGUAGGCUAGAUAACCAGUUCUACCGAGUAAAUAAUUGUGUUUUGUGAAUCCAUUUGUGUUAUAUGACAAUGGAAAGACUUGUGGAGGAAACUUUCUAGCCUACUAUGAGAUAAAAUAUGUAGGGCAGGCCACAUGUCAUAUGAGGAAUGUUGGUGAUGCUGAUCCUAUUGUUUCUUGUUACCGACCUGAGGUCACAUGACUAGAACAUAGUUGUACUCACACAACCUAUCACACUCUUGUAUAAGAUAGGAUCACUUUUGACAGGAUUAUAGACAAUUUGCUACACAGUAUGAGGAACUUGUUGCACUUUGUGUUUGUUUGAGUUGCUUGCUGUACAGCCUGACGAUGUGGAUCACUGUAAGUAGUCUACACACCUUUGUUAAAAAUGUGUCUUCUGACAAGUCCAUUUGCUGAAUUUGUUUUUAAAAAUGAUUACCUACUAACAUCUAGUACUGGACUGUAUAUGGCUCUUAUGUAUCUGUGCUCUCUUUCUGCAGAUACCUAUUGUGAGAGUUGCUUGACUACAGCCCAAGAAAUUGAGAGCAGAAGAAAGACACAGCAGAGUCCAGACGGGAUGUUAUUGAGAAGCUAGUCAGUGGUGCUGUGUACCAAGAUUUAGAUGCUAAAAUCCCCACUGAACACAUUUUAAUGUAACUAUGUUCAACUGUACCAACUCUGUUUAUUUAAUCUCCAAAAUUCUC
ensembl:lncRNA